UAGGAAUGACCCAUGUCUUUUACCCAUGGUACAAUCAUCAGCAUUCUGUGGAUUAUUACUCUAAUUUACACUCUUUUAGUAAUCAUACAUGCUCAGUUUCAUUGGCAUUUGAGAAUGAUUACUGGCCAAUUCAGGAAAACCCAUGCAAUUGCUCACUGCUGUGUUGUGAUCUCUGUGACGAGAGAAGACUAGAGCACAGCUGCUGUUGGGUCUUGUCAUCCAAGUGUGAUUUUCUCUCCGAAAGGCAGCCGGUCCAUCUGAAAGUCAGAGGCAGAGGAGACAACAAACCCCAGCAGAACUUGGCCGAUGGUGAUGACUUCUGCUCAUGCUGUGGAUUCUGAUCAAGUGCUUGAGAGAAAAUGAAAAGCUCUUCUAGAUCAGCGCCAUCUAGAGACAUACUUCAGACUGCAGCGCUUGAAAGAUGUGAUGUCCAAUCAGCAUGCUACAUUAAUGAGGGGAAAAAUUCAAAGACAAAGACAAGAGAUGAAGCUCUAUGAUUCCAGACCUAGAGAAGGACAUAGAGAACAGACACUUGUCAGCCUUCAGAGGGCCACCAGAUCAACCCUCACACAUGAUGAUGCAUACCUGAGGUGUCUGCCUAAAACACGCUACUAUCUGGUGAGGCCAGCAUUAUAUCCUGCUUUCUCUCUCCGUAGAUAUUUACUUGGACUUUAAGUGAUUAGACUUUAAAUGAUUAAAAUGCACAUUAUUAACCAUCUCUAAUCUGGCGUUCAUGAGGUUCUGGAAUUGCAGAAAGGGCUUAAACGACUCUGGUAUCUUCAGAACCGCAGGGAACAGGAGGUGUUCAGGGUCUGGACAGAACAACACAGAAGCACAUGUCAACUUGAGAAGCAACUACAAGCAGCGGAACACAUCAGUAAUUCCAGCUCAGAUGUGACUCUUGAGGUUCUGCUGAAACAGAAGUCUGGGUCUCUCUCGAAACUUCCCGAUCACACCUGGUGACUCCACAGCUCAACACAAACAUAUGCCAGUCUCAGUAAGAGUGGGUGGAGGAGGGGUGAACGCUUUCCAACAGCAGGGCAAACAGAGUUUGGGACAAGACGAAACUGAGCUCAUGUUUCUUGAGGUAAGUGUCAAACCACAGUGUCUGUGAUCCCAUUAAGCAGCAGUGAGACAAGCACACCUGCAGCAGUCUCACACACAAACAGACAUAACCCUCACUUUCAUCUACACUAUAGACACCACAGACAGGUGAACUUCUAAAAAGAGAAUUAAUGUUUAUAAAAAGAAUUCUAGAUAUAAUAGUUUUCCUUUCAAAAAAAAAAAAAAAAAAAAUUUAGAACUGAAAGGCUUUUAUAAGAGGGAAAAAAUCUUUACAGUGUUUGCUCGACAGCACGGAUUUCAUUACACAAUUUACUGAUUAUAUGGUUUGUUCUAAAUACGUUAUGUAACUUCUGUAAGCACACUCAGUGUAGUUGUGAACGGUCUACUUUCUGUUUACAUUCGGAAUUAAUCUAUUUUCAACAUCAAGAACUUUUUUAACCUCUGAAAAAUUAUAUAUUAGCAUUUCCAGUGCUGGGUAGAUUACUUACAAAUUGUAGUCUGUUACUGAUUACAUAUUACAUACAUGUUAAAAAUUACAUUUAGUAAUGUAAUUAAGAUUACUAAUUUGUGUAUUCUGAACACUUUUGGAUUAUUUCUAGAUUACUUUUGACAUAACUUUUUUUUUAUAAAUUUAAAUUGGAUUACUGUUAUAAAAAAAGAAAGAAAGAAAAAAAUGUAUCACCAUUAACCAACAUCAGAGAACAUGCAAAUGUGUUGUUAAAUUAUUGAAAUAUUAUCUUUAAAUCUCAGGGGGAUCCCUGCAUUACAUUAACAAAAACAUUAGAAAGAGAAGAAGAAGAAGAAAAAAGAAUCAUGCAUACUUUACUGCCCUUGUGUGAAUAAUUUGUAAUCAUGUAAUCCAUAAAGAAGUAACUGUAAACUGAUUAUGAGCAUUUCUUAAUUUUUGGAAUGUAAUUAAUGUAGUUCACAUGUAAUCAGUUACUACCAGCACUGGCAAUUUUACUAAUUGAUAUUAUAAUCAAUUCCGCUCGGUCCGGUCCGACUGGCACUUGAACCAUUGACAGACAGCAUGGGAGUCAGAUGCACUAAGGAAGCAGUCUUUAUAGAAUCAGCUGCGAGCACACCUCUUAAAUCUGGGGAACUGAGGUUUACCUGCACAACAUCUUGUACCAGCUUGGCUCCAUUACACAUAUGCCACUAAACCUAUCAUCCGGGUCAUGGCACCACUGUAAACGAUUCUGCUUGUGGAUUUAAUUGACGAUUGCCAGUAUGGGAGUUGGGCAGACUUGCAACAGCGCUAAAGACCACAGCUUUUUUUUAAUGUUAGUCGCUAGUGCACCUAUUAAAGCCAGGAGCUGGCCUCUGUUACACUCACGCCUCUAAACCUCACUCUCACCCGGGUCAUGGCACUACUGUAACAGUUCAGCUCAGGGAACAAACCAAUUAUUACCAGCACGGGAGCUGGACACACUAACAAUGGUGCUAAUGACUACAGCCUUCUAGUGUCAGUUGCUUGUGCACCUCUCGAGGCCAGGGGAGUGAGGUUUACCUGCACAGCUACCUUGUACCACCUGGUCUCCAUUACAUAUACAAUGCAAAAUGUUUUUGAUAAGAAGAACCAGUAAAGGACCUGUAUAUGUAAUAGUGUUGAUCUGUGAAGUCUAGAAAAUAAUCCAUCACUAAAAAGUCUAGAGGUGAAAAACUAAAGCCUCAGUGGUUUGUGGAAGACUUGUUUAAUUGGAAAACUUAGAUAUUAAAAGAAUCUUAACUGAAGUGAAAAAAGCCAUACAGGCUGAAGGUGUGCCCAGCGGUUGAUGUUGCUUAACUGAAAACUAUGGGAAUUGUUGGAGUCAAAUUUUUUUUUACUGAAAAUCUAGGAUAUAUUAUGGAUUUUUGCUGCCUGCUAUAUGAAAACUGCUGUUAAAGUAGUUGACUGCAAGACGACAGUUGUUGCCAGAGUCCAGACCGCAUGGAGGUGAGAGAAGAGGAGGAAGAGAAGGAGCAGUGAAGCUGGGAUGACAGUGGAACCUGUAGAAAGACACGUUUUUCUCACACCUCCCUGUCAUUGUGGACGUGUGCAAACAGAGCACUGGUCUGGAGGAGGGAGUGUGAUGGCAAACAUCGGGCAGACAAGAGUUGGGAAGAACCAGCAGUCAGGGGUAUUACUUAACCUUGCAGCCCACUUACAGCUGCAACACACAAGAAAGCACAGUCGGUACUAGACAUCUAUCACAUGGACAAACGUGAGAUUUUUUUACAUUUUUAUGAGAAAAUGUCUCUGUUUUACACAUAUUAGCCUUUGAACUGAAUACUUUAUUGCAUUAGAUAAUAAAUAUUUCAUUUUUUUCAGCAAAACAUUUUAUCUGACCAGCAUUUGGGAGACUUAAAAAUUAUUUCCAAAAUUGGUUAAAUUCAUUAUUUAUUAUUUAUUCAACAAAGUAUUGAGCAAAGGCUGUGAAUACUUAUUUACCUGUUUAUAUAUAUAUAAAUUUGCAAAGACUUCAAUCAAACUUCUUUCACUUUGUCAUUAUGGGGUAUUGUUUGUAGAAUUUUGAGGAAAAUAAUGAAUUUAAUCCAUUUUGGAAUAAGGCUGUAACAUAACAAAAUGUGG